AGACCCCGUCUCUGCUCUCCCCCAGACCCAGUCACUGCUCCCUGUCUGAGGGAGGGGGCUCUCCCCCAGGCCCAGUCCCUGCUCCCUGUCUGAGGGAGGGGGCUCUUCCCCCAGACCCUGUCCUAGUGAGGACGGGGGCUGAGGGUACCGGGUGGCACUGGGGAUAGAGGGAGGAGUGGAACACGGAGUUUGGAAAUACAGGGACGUGACUAGAUCAGAGGCCAAUUGCUUUGAGGACAGGAGUUGUUCAGGAACGACAUGUAUUUACCCCACCUUGUUAAUUUCCAUCUUGUUUGUUUUUCUAGAAUGGGAUCGCAUUUGGGAGAGACACAAACGAGAGCCCUCUGUGGUCGUGCUGUAUGAGGGAUCACUGAACACCACUGGUCUGAUCGAGUGACACUCCUGUGUGGGAUUGUGUGUGACAAGGAAACACAGUGAGGUCUGCACUCCCCACCCUGCUCUCCAGCACUGAACUGCACCCCAGCAGAAGCAGGAAACAGGGUCAAACCCUGAAAACUCAGGAUAACCAGUUGAGCAGCUAGUGUGGAAGUGUUGCAGACAAGUGAUUAAAGGCCUGUUUUUUUGCAAA